UAACAUUACUACUCGCCAGAGAACUACAAGCCACCGCUUAAAACUCAAAGGACUUGGCGGUGCUUUAUAUCCACCUAGAGGAGCCUGUUCCAUAACCGAUGAUCCCCGAUUUACCUCACCACUCCUUGCUAAUUCAGCCUAUAUACCGCCAUCUUCAGUUAACCCUAAAAAGGAAAUAAAGUAAGCCUAAUCAGUAUUACUAAAGAAGUUAGGUCAAGGUGUAGCCCAUGGAGUGGAGCGAAAUGGGCUACAUUUUCUAUUACUAGAACAUUACGAAACUCUACGUGAAAUCCGUAGAAUAAAGGAGGAUUUAGUAGUAAAUUAAAACUAGAGUGUUUAAUUGAAUAGAGCAAUGAAGCACGCACACACCGCCCGUCACCCUCCUCAAUUUCUCAACAAUUAAAAGUACAUAACACCUAAUUACAAAAGAUUGAGAGGAGACAAGUCGUAACAAGGUAAGUGUACUGGAAAGUGCACUUGGAAAAAUCAAAAU
rnacentral:ncRNA from 1 species